rnacentral:lncRNA from 1 species
CCCAUUCUUUUUUUAAUUAAUUUUUAUUUUUUCCAUUAUAGUUGGUUUACAGUGCUCUGUCAAUUUUCUACUGUAUAGCAAAGUAACCUAGUCAUACAUACAUAUAUACAUUCUUUUUCUCAUAUUAUCCUCCAUCGUGCUCCAUCAUAAGUGACUAGAUACAGUUCCCAGUGCUAUACAGCAGGAUUUCAUUGCUUAUCCAUUCCAAAGGCAAUUGUUUGCAGUGCCCCCAUUCUUUUAAGCCCCCAAACCCCACACUCCCAGCAUCAGUGUGAAGCAAAUCCAAGACAUCAUUUAUUUUUGGUAUGUGCAGAGUGCUUUCGUAAGCCUAGUCUCACCAUGGCACAUGCAGGUGAAUGAACCUUCAGUGGCAUGAGGUCUGCUUGGUGGGUUGGACUAGGCCAGCUUCAAUCUGCUACUGCCCACCUUUUCAGCUUCUGUUCCUCCACUCCCCAGCUGACCCUACCCUUGCAGCCACACUGAACAUGUUUUCCCCAAAUGUCACAUUUUUUUCACCUGUCACUUGGUAGAAGAAUUUCCGUGUCAGACUUCCCAUCCCCCUCCCGCAUCUCAGGGGUCAUGUUUUCUCUGAAGUUUCCCUGAACCCCCAGACUAUUCUGUGGGCUCCAGUGGCAUCAAGACAUCUAUUUAUAGCACUUCUUUAUCAAGCAGAGCCUAUUACCUAACUAUAAGAUAGGCACUACUCUAGGGGUGUUCCAGAAAAAGAAAAAAAUUAACUCAUUUAACCCACAUAAAACCAUUCUCCUGAGGUUAUAGAUGGGGCUGGUGAAGCACAGAGAGGUUUAGACCACCCAGCUGGUAAGUGGCAGAGCUGAGAUUCACACCCAUGCAGUCAGGCUUCUUAACCACCUUCUAGGCUACUUGUUCUAGUGAAGUCUUACCCUUAUCAUGUGUCUGUCUUCCUCUGCAGACCACCAAGUCUUUGGGAACAGAGCCUGGAACUCACUCUCCUUGGCAAGAGUAAGUGCUCAGGCCUUUAUCUGGCAUGUUGCAGCCGCUGACCACCCAGGGUUAAGUGCGUGAAUAAAUGUAAGGCACUCUCCCCGGUCAUUUGCAGAGACUUCCAGGCUGGACUCUUCCUAGAGGCAGUUACAAUUUCCACUGGGACCAGGGCCCUAGGCUAUGCAGGAUGCUCAAUCUUUUUUCCAAGCAACAUUGCUGUGGCUCAUGAAGAGCUUGCUAUGGCUCUCACCUGGUGGAGGAGAUGGUGUGUGUGUUGGAGAGGCUGGAGAGGAUAGCUGGCGGUGGGGCUGGGUUUUACAAGUGUGGUUUGAAAAAAACCCCAGCCCUUUAGGUGAAGCCUCUUCUUUGAGAAGGACUGAGCUGGAGAGAUAAGGCCCUAAAAUGAAAUUCUAGGCAAUAGUCUGGGGAUGGAGGGGGAAUUUGAGGAUGUUGGGGACAGGAUCUUCCCCUCACCUCCUAGACUCUUGUAAAGGAUGAUGGGAAUGAAUAGCAUUACUUUCCUUGUGGAAAACAUUUUUCUUCUCCUUUUCCCUUGAAGUCCAGUGCAACUGCUAUGGGAAUGGAUUAUGUGUGUGAGCAAGCUCCUGAGAGGAGACAGGAAAGCUGCAAUGUUUACAACCUUCCAUGACCUGAUUCCAUUUCAAGGACAUGGGUCAUUAGCGGCUGGCAGCAGACAGAGCUUGUAUGCAUAAUUUCCAAGAGCUUCGUUACCACACUUGGGCAUAACUUUAUUUUUUGUCUCUGAGGUGACUGUUAUUAUUUACUGGAAAUUCCAUUAAUAAAUCCCAGCAGCCAAAGCUUUUCUUUUUUUCCCUACACAAUUCUCAAUAAUUAGAAGAUGCUAUUACUUGCUAUCUGGCCAUAGCCUAACCAAUGACCUAACGUAAGACUUUUCUUAUCACAGUUCUCUAGUAUUCUGGCUUAUGAGCAGCAAACCUUCCACUCUGUGACUCUGCGCAUCAUGGUUUGCGAUCUAAAACACUUAUGGCCAUAGGUGAUACACCUCAGAUACUUUUUGGCUGUUGCAGCAAAGACUACUCACGAAACAAAAAACAAGGUCCUAAUACCCAGUUCUACAGCUUAGUAGUAUCACCCCAGGAAAGUAACACUGCUGAUUUAGUCCUCAUUUCCUCAUUUAUGGACUUGUCUAAAACAUAUUUGGUUUUCUCUUGCAGGCCACUGGGACUGAUAGGUAGUGGCUGCCUGGAGUGCUUGGCUGAAAAAAUACAAUGGGGAAUGGUUUUGUGAUUGAUUGUUGAUGUCUGUGGUGGGUGAGGGAGCUUGAAUGCCAUAAUUUCCCAGGUAUUGCUAAUUCUGGGUUGGAAUGUCUUAAGUCUGUCAUUGUAGAGAUAUAAUGUGUUUAAUGUAUGUGGUGGUCCUGAGGCAAGACAACCAGCAGCAGUUCAGCAUUUCUGCAUGUUAUUUGUAGGUAGAGAUGACUAAAUUACUAAAGCCUCCAAAAGUUGUGGGAAUCCUGGGGAAUUUGUUGCAGCUCAGAAAUUUUUCAUGCACUGGAGUGAGCCUGACAUCUAGACUGAAGGGUAAUCUGUCUUUCUAUGCUGUUUCUAACCAAGCUAGUUUUGGUUUUUUGUUUGUUUGUUUGUUUUGGGCUGCAACUGCAGCAUGUGGAAGUUCCUGAGCCAGGGAUCAAACCCACACUGCAAUUUUGACCUGAGCCAGAGCUGUGGCAACGAUGGAUUCUUAACCUGCUGCACCACAUGGGAACAUCCAGGCUUGACUUUUAGAUUCCAGGGGUCACCUGGCCCCUUACUGGAUGAGGGUAGUUUGGGGACCAGGAUCAGGGGCAUCCCAGGAAGAACUGAGUUUCCUGAUGUUAGUAGUAUUAGGAUACUGAGACAAACAGGAUUCCUAUAAUCUUUAAGGUUAGAGAAUAUACUGACAUUUCAAUAAGGGACCCAUUUAAGAGAUUUUCUGAAUCUUAGGUUAUAUAACUUGUUCAAAGUCAGAGCAGGCAGACAGGAGGGAGCUAACAUGUACUUAAAGCCCACUAUGAGCCAGGCUUUUUAUGGAAUAAUAACUCACUCUUUUUGGUAACUUAUGGGGUGGGAGUUAAGGCAGCUGUAGUAUUUCAUAGCAAAGGAACUGGUGAUGCAGAGUCAUUGAGUAACUUGCACACAGCUGCACAAGAAGAGGUGGACCAAGGUCAGUCUUUCCAAAUGUUCUGGAUUCUGAUCAUAGCACAACAGCACAAUUUCUGUCAGGACUUCUCCUCCUCCUUCUUUCAUCUCCUUUCUUCUUUUUUUUCCCUUUUCAGGGCCACACUUGUGGCAUAUGGAAAUUCCUGGGCUGGAGAAAAAUCAGAGCUGCAACUGUCAGCCUAUGCCACAGCCACGGCAAUGCGGGAUCCGAGCCACAUCUGUGACCUACACCACAGCUUGGGGCAACGCUGGAUGUUUAACCCACUGAGUGAGGGCAGGGAUCAAACCUGUGUCCUCAUAGACACUGUGCCAGGUUCUUAACCCACUGAGCUACAACAGGAACUCCACUGUCUGGACUUCUGUAUGCCAAUUGCCAAUAUAAAUAGUUGUGAGGGGAUUUUUUUCUUUUGUAAUUUAUUUUUAUUUUUAGAAAUUAACUGAAAAACAUUUCUCAUUUGAAAUAUUUUCCUUUAACAUUUUAUAAGUUAAUCAAAUGCAUACUACCAUAGAUUUUUUGAUUGUUAUUUAAAUAAGGGAGUUCUCUUUUAGUAUUACACAAUUUUAAGAUGAGACUG